rnacentral:rRNA from 1 species
GAUGAACGCUGGCGGCGUGCCUAAUACAUGCAAGUCGAGCGAACAGACGAGGAGCUUGCUCCUCUGACGUUAGCGGCGGACGGGUGAGUAACACGUGGAUAACCUACCUAUAAGACUGGGAUAACUUCGGGAAACCGGAGCUAAUACCGGAUAACAUGUUGAACCGCAUGGUUCAACAGUGAAAGACGGUCUUGCUGUCACUUAUAGAUGGAUCCGCGCCGCAUUAGCUAGUUGGUAAGGUAACGGCUUACCAAGGCAACGAUGCGUAGCCGACCUGAGAGGGUGAUCGGCCACACUGGAACUGGGACACGGUCCAAACUCCUAAGGGAGGCAGCCGUAGGGAAUCUUCCGCAAUGGGCGGAAGCCUGACGGAGCAACGCCGCGUUAGUGAAAAAGGUCUUCCGAUCGUAAAACUCUGUUAUUAGGGAAGAACAAAUUUGUAAGUAACUAUGCACGUCUUGACGGUACCUAAUCAGAAAGCCACGGCUAACUACGUG